AUAAUUUAUGCGGUGUGUUUCCUAAAGGUACAGAUCCUCUCCAACCAACCCUUCUCCUAACUGUGAGCUCCAGUGAAGAAAUCGCAAGCAGCAAGUUUGCAACCGUCGUCUGUUCAAUCAUCGACUUCCAUCCGAAGUCAAUCUCCGUGAGUUGGUUGAAAAAUGGCCGACCCUUGGAUUCUGGCUUCUUCACGUCUCCCGUGUGUAAGGCGAACGGGAACUUUUCGGUGACGAGUCGGCUGAUGGUCCCUUAUGGUGAAUGGUUCAACAGCGCAGUCUAUACCUGCCAGGUCACUCAUGGAGAGACCACUCAAAGGAAAAGCAUCACCGCACUCCAGGAAGAUACCGAGUGCCACCCUAACACCGUUAAAAUCCUCCCACCGCCAGUAGAACAAGUCUUACUGGAGGCGACGGUGACGGUAACCUGCGUUGUGUCCAAUCUUCCUUCUGGAGUCAACGUGACCUGGAAACAAGAAAAGAAGCCUCUGAAAUCAGAGAUUGCUGACCAGCCUGGACAGAAUCCCGACAGCGUGAUCAGCAAAUUAGAC